rnacentral:rRNA from 1 species
GCAAGUCGAACGAACCCGAUCUUCGGAUCAUAUGGGUGAGUGGCGAACGGGUGAGUAACACGUGAGAAACCUGCCCCAAAGUUCGGGAUAACUCAGGGAAACUUGAGCUAAUACCGGAUGCCCUCCGUUGGUCGAAUGACCGACAGAGGAAAGAUUUAUCGCUUUGGGAGGGUCUCGCGGCCUAUCAGCUUGUUGGUGAGGUAAUGGCUCACCAAGGCAUUGACGGGUAGCUAGUCUGAGAGGACGAAU